ACGUCAGUUCCACGUGGGUGCAGAAUCUGUGAGAUCAUGUGCUCUCGUGGCUUGAGAAUUCCCUUUUGGAGCAGCCGUCACCAGGGAUUGAGCAGCUGCUCAGAGAAGCCCCAAAAUAAGACAUUCAGAUCAGGAAACGGAGAUGGGUUCCUAGAGGCAGAUGUCAUCUCUGGACUAAUCCUGUAAGCUAUGAUGAAUUAAAUCUAUUAACAAAUAUCAGAAGAAUAAAGCGUAUAUACAAUACAGAUCACUGCAUUCUUCAUAUCUACCAGAACAGCAAUGGAUUGCUUCAGCCUAAGAGAGCCAAAGACCAAACAGAGGCAGAUAUUAAUGUGCCCUUCCUUUUAAUUCUCCAGGCAAAACAAGAAAACAGGCACAGGCUGGCUCGGCUGACACCUCAUCUCAAAAAAAAGAAAGAAAGAAAGAAAGAAAAGUAAAGAAGAAGGAUCAGAAGAAAAUAAAAUCGAGGCACAGAUGGCAACAAACAUUCUGAAACCUCCAUGAUGAAAAGUUCUGAGAUAGAAUACUCAGGGACUGGGCAGCCAUCCCUUUGAUGAUAGGUUUUCAAAGAUCUAUUCCUUAGUGUAGGUUAUAGAGAUGGGUUGGAAGAGUCUAUUUUUAAGAAAAGAAAAAGGAAAGAUUUGGUUACCCUACAUAAAAAGGACUUUAUGAAAAAAUUUUAGGCAAUCUUAAUUUCUCUAGAUGAUUACUCUGCGUGUAGGUUGCCAGGGUGAGGAAGGGGGAAACAGUUUGACUUAGGGUCAUUUUAUUUUUUUUAGGUAGACCUUCAUCAAAGCAUAAAAAUGGCAGCUAUAUUAGGCAACUCUAUUAGAUAGCUAUUUCAUAAAGUCUUAAAAAGCAUAAAAACUAGGGAAGAAUAUUACCAUAAUCAUUAUCAAUACCUAAUCGUAGAAGCAACAUUAUCAUUUUCCAUGAUUUUCAGGUAGUUAUAUGAAAGGCUCCCUUGC